rnacentral:rRNA from 1 species
UACAGAGGUCUCAAGCGUUGUUCGGAUUCAUUGGGCGUAAAGGGUGUGUAGGUGGCGCCGUAAGUCGGGUGUGAAAUUUCGGAGCUUAACUCCGAAACUGCAUUCGAUACUGCGGUGCUUGAGGACUGGAGAGGAGACUGGAAUUCAUGGUGUAGCAGUGAAAUGCGUAGAGAUGUGGAGGAACACCGAUGGCGAAGGCAGCCCCUGGGUCAAGAUUGACGCUCAUGCACGAAAGCGUGGGAGCAAACAGG